UUCGCAAUGCCCGAAAGGGUGACGAAGCGACGCCGCGUGUGGGAAGAAGGCCUUCGGGUUGUAAACCACUGUCGGGAGUUAGGAAAUGUAAGGGUGCUAAUAGUAUCCUUACUUGACUAAGGCUCCGGAGGAAGCCACGGCUAACUCUGUGCCAGCAGCCGCGGUAAUACAGAGGCGGCAAGCGUUGUUCGGAAUUAUUGGGCGUAAAGAGCACGUAGGCGGCCUUAUAAGUCGGUUGUGAAAGCCUUCUGCUUAACGGAAGAACAGCAUCUGAUACUGUAAGGCUAGAGUGCGGAAGGGGAGAGUGGAACUUCUGGUGGAGCGGUGAAAUGCGUAGAUAUCAGAAGGAACACCGGCGGCGAAAGCGGCUCUCUGGCCCGUAACUGACGCUGAGUGUGCGAAAGCUAGGGGAUCAAACGGGAUUAGAUACCCCGGUAGUCCUAGCCGUAAACGAUGGGCACUAAGUAGAGGGGUUUU
rnacentral:rRNA from 1 species